rnacentral:lncRNA from 1 species
GGCUCUGUAGAUUGGAGAAAUAUCUCUAAAAACAAUUCAAGAGGAGCGCUCAUGCUAUAUAAAAUAUAUGCUAUAAUAUAUGUCGUUCUUCGGAAUGACUAUGGCUGACUACACGUAUGUGUACUAUGAUAAAGAAACUGUCAGAAAUAAUAUUAUACUAGUAUAUAGACAGUACGAAAGCCAGUCGAGCCUAGUGGAGGUU